GAUGAACGCUAGCGGCAGGCUUAAUACAUGCAAGGCGAGGGGGCAGCAAUGUCACCGUCGUACGGGUGCGUAACGCGUAUGGAACCUACCUUCAACUGGGGGAUAGCCCGGGGAAACCCGGAUUAAUACCGCAUAACACAAUGGAGUCUCAUGGUUUUAUUGUUAAAGAUUUAUUGGUUGAAGAUGGGCAUGCGUUCGAU
rnacentral:rRNA from 1 species